rnacentral:rRNA from 1 species
AACGCUAGCUACAGGCUUAACACAUGCAAGUCGAGGGGCAGCAUGGUCUUAGCUUGCUAAGGCCGAUGGCGACCGGCGCACGGGUGAGUAACACGUAUCCAACCUGCCGUCUACUCUUGGACAGCCUUCUGAAAGGAAGAUUAAUACAAGAUGGCAUCAUGAGUCCACAUGUUCACAUGAUUAAAGGUAUUCCGGUAGACGAUGGGGAUGCGUUCCAUUAGAUAGUAGGCGGGGUAACGGCCCACCUAGUCUUCGAUGGAUAGGGGUUCUGAGAGGAAGGUCCCCCACAUUGGAACUGAGACACGGUCCAAACUCCUACGGGAGGCAGCAGUGAGGAAUAUUGGUCAAUGGGCGAGAGCCUGAACCAGCCAAGUAGCGUGAAGGAUGACUGCCCUAUGGGUUGUAAACUUCUUUUAUAAAGGAAUAAAGUCGGGUAUGCAUACCCGUUUGCAUGUACUUUAUGAAUAAGGAUCGGCUAACUCCGUGCCAGCAGCCGCGGUAAUACGGAGGAUCCGAGCGUUAUCCGGAUUUAUUGGGUUUAAAGGGAGCGUAGAUGGAUGUUUAAGUCAGUUGUGAAAGUUUGCGGCUCAACCGUAAAAUUGCAGUUGAUACUGGAUAUCUUGAGUGCAGUUGAGGCAGGCGGAAUUCGUGGUGUAGCGGUGAAAUGCUUAGAUAUCACGAAGAACUCCGAUUG